UUGCAGUCUUAUCACAUUGAAUCACCAGUUCCCAUAAAAUCAGCAAAGUUAAGCAACAUUGAGCCUGGUCAGUAACUAGAUGGGUGACUGCUUGGGAAUACCAGGUGCUAUA